rnacentral:rRNA from 1 species
UACGUAGAAGACUAGUGUUAUUCAUCUUUAAUAGGUUUAAAGGGUACCUAGACGGUAUAAUUAGUCUUUAAUAGGAAACGGUUAUACUAGAGUUAUAUAUGAGGAGGUGAGUAUUUGUGGAGUAGAGUUGAAAUUCUUUGAUACCAUGAAGACUGGUAAAGGCGAAAGCAACCUUUUAUCUAAUAACUGACGUUGAGGGACGAAGGCUCGGGUCGCGAACAGG